rnacentral:rRNA from 1 species
GUGGGGAAUAUUGGACAAUGGGGGGAACCCUGAUCCAGCCAUGCCGCGUGUGUGAAGAAGGCCUUUUGGUUGUAAAGCACUUUAAGCGAGGAGGAGGCUACCGAGAUUAAUACUCUUGGAUAGUGGACGUUACUCGCAGAAUAAGCACCGGCUAACUCUGUGCCAGCAGCCGCGGUAAUACAGAGGGUGCAAGCGUUAAUCGGAUUUACUGGGCGUAAAGCGCGCGUAGGUGGCCAAUUAAGUCAAAUGUGAAAUCCCCGAGCUUAACUUGGGAAUUGCAUUCGAUACUGGUUGGCUAGAGUAUGGGAGAGGAUGGUAGAAUUCCAGGUGUAGCGGUGAAAUGCGUAGAGAUCUGGAGGAAUACCGAUGGCGAAGGCAGCCAUCUGGCCUAAUACUGACACUGAGGUGCGAAAGCAUGAGGAGCAAACAGGAUUAGAUACCCGGGUAGUCC